GCUGGGCGUGGUGGUGCACACCUGUAAUCCCAGCUACUCAGGAGGCUGAGGCAGGAGAAUUGCUUGAACCCAGGAGGCAGGAGUUGCAGUGAGCUGAGAUCGUGCCACUGCACUCCAGCCUGGGCAACAGAGCAAGACUCCGUCUCAG
ensembl:misc_RNA Metazoa_SRP Metazoan signal recognition particle RNA